rnacentral:rRNA from 1 species
CCUAUAAGCGCCAGGGAAUUACGAGCUAUGCUUAAAACCCAAAGGAUUUGACGGUGUCCCACCCCCCUAGAGGAGCCUGUUCUAUAAUCGAUGAUCCCCGCUACACCCGACCACUUCUUGCUUAUCAGUCUGUAUACCUCCGUCGAAAGCUUACCAUGUGAACGCCACCCACAGUAGGUUCAAUGACCCCCGUCAAUACGUCAGGUCAAGGUGCAGCUUAAGAAGUGGGAAGUGAUGGGCUACAAUUUCUAAUCUAGAACAAACGAAAGACUAUGUGAAACCCUAGUCACGAAGGCGGAUUUAGCAGUAAAAAGAAAAUAGAGUGUUCUUUUUAAUCUGGCUCUGGGACGCGUACACACCGCCCGUCACCUCCUU